rnacentral:rRNA from 1 species
ACGAACGCUGGCGGCGUGCCUAAUACAUGCAAGUAGAACGCUGAAGAGAGGAGCUUGCUCUUCUUGGAUGAGUUGCGAACGGGUGAGUAACGCGUAGGUAACCUGCCUUGUAGCGGGGGAUAACUAUUGGAAACGAUAGCUAAUACCGCAUAACAAUGGAUGACACAUGUCAUUUAUUUGAAAGGGGCAAUUGCUCCACUACAAGAUGGACCUGCGUUGUAUUAGCUAGUAGGUGAGGUAAUGGCUCACCUAGGCGACGAUACAUAGCCGACCUGAGAGGGUGAUCGGCCACACUGGGACUGAGACACGGCCCAGACUCCUACGGGAGGCAGCAGUAGGGAAUCUUCGGCAAUGGGGGCAACCCUGACCGAGCAACGCCGCGUGAGUGAAGAAGGUUUUCGGAUCGUAAAGCUCUGUUGUAAGUCAAGAACGGGUGUGAGAGUGGAAAGUUCACACUGUGACGGUAGCUGACCAGAAAGGGACGGCUAACUACGUG